rnacentral:rRNA from 1 species
CAACCUGCCGCUUACUCGGGGAUAGCCUUUCGAAAGAAAGAUUAAUACCCGAUGGUAUAAAGAGUUCGCAUGUUCUCUUUAUUAAAGAAUUUCGGUAAGCGAUGGGGAUGCGUUCCAUUAGAUUGUUGGCGGGGUAACGGCCCACCAAGUCUACGAUGGAUAGGGGUUCUGAGAGGAAGGUCCCCCACAUUGGAACUGGGACACGGUCCAAACUCCUACGGGAGGCAGCAGUGAGGAAUAUUGGUCAAUGGACGAGAGUCUGAACCAGCCAAGUAGCGUGAAGGAUGACUGCCCUAUGGGUUGUAAACUUCUUUUAUAAGGGAAUAAAGUGAGGGACGUGUCCCUUUUUGUAUGUACCUUAUGAAUAAGGAUCGGCUAACUCCGUGCCAGCAGCCGCGGUAAUACGGAGGAUCCGAGCGUUAUCCGGAUUUAUUGGGUUUAAAGGGAGCGUAGGUUGACAUAUAAGUCAGCUGUGAAAGUUUACGGCUCAACCGUGAAAUUGCAGUUGAUACUGUAUGUCUUGAGUGUGCAAGAGGUGGGCGGAAUUCGUGGUGUAGCGGUGAAAUGCUUAGAUAUCACGAAGAACUCCGAUUG